GAUGAAGAACGUAGCGAAAUGCGAUAAGUAGUGUGAAUUGCAGAAUUCAGUGAAUCAUCGAAUCUUUGAACGCACAUUGCGCCCUUUGGUAUUCCUUAGGGCAUGCCUGUUCGAGCGUCAUUUCAACCCUCAAGCCCCCGGGUUUGGUGUUGGGGAUCGGCUCUGCCCUUCUGGGCGGUGCCGCCCCCGAAAUACAUUGGCGGUCUCGCUGCAGCCUCCAUUGCGUAGUAGCUAACACCUCGCAACUGGAACGCGGCGCGGCCAUGCCGUAAAACCCCAACUUCUGAAUGUUGACCUCGGAUCAGGUAGGAAUACCCGCUGAACUUAAGCAUAUCAAUAAGCGGAGGA
rnacentral:misc_RNA from 1 species